rnacentral:ncRNA from 1 species
AACAAAGCAUUGUGAUGUCCACUGAUUGGUUUUGACGCAAUGUGAUUUCUGCCCAGUGCUCUGAAUGUCAAAGUGAAGUAAUUCAACCAAGCGCGGGUAAACGGCGGGAGUAACUAUGACUCUCUUAAGGUGAACAGCACGCUGCUCUGCACGGUGUUAUGAGUUUUUGGUCGUUUCUUCGUUCCUUCGACGUAGUUUCGAGAUUACUUCAGUC